UGGGGAAUUUUGGACAAUGGGCGAAAGCCUGAUCCAGCAAUGCCGCGUGUGUGAAGAAGGCCUUCGGGUUGUAAAGCACUUUUGUCCGGAAAGAAAUCCUUGGCUCUAAUACAGUCGGGGGAUGACGGUACCGGAAGAAUAAGCACCGGCUAACUACGUGCCAGCAGCCGCGGUAAUACGUAGGGUGCAAGCGUUAAUCGGAAUUACUGGGCGUAAAGCGUGCGCAGGCGGUUUGCUAAGACCGAUGUGAAAUCCCCGGGCUCAACCUGGGAACUGCAUUGGUGACUGGCAGGCUAGAGUAUGGCAGAGGGGGGUAGAAUUCCACGUGUAGCAGUGAAAUGCGUAGAGAUGUGGAGGAAUACCGAUGGCGAAGGCAGCCCCCUGGGCCAAUACUGACGCUCAUGCACGAAAGCGUGGGGAGCAAACAGGAUUAGAUACCCUGGGUAGUCCACGCCCUAAAACGAUGUCAACUAGUUGUUGGGGAUUCAUUUCCUUAGUAACGUAGCUAACGCGUGAAGUUGACCGCCUGGGGAGUACGGUCGCAAGAUUAAAACUCAAAGGAAUUGACGGGGUCAUAGCUGUUUCCU
rnacentral:rRNA from 1 species